ensembl:ncRNA T06H11.21 ncRNA
CCCGCACAGGAAAUAGUUGGAAUUGUGAAGAAGGGCAACCAAUUCGUAGUCUAAUUAAAACUAACUACUGAAAUAUUUAU